GAAGUUACUCCGGGCCGGAAAUUGCUCCUGUCGCUCUCUUUCUGUCGCGGAGGACAUUAGCAGACCGGCGGUACAACUGCUGUCCCAGGGCAGCUAGGAACGCAUGGUUCCUGAGUGUGGACGCUUUUAAAGUACAGAGGCGGAGCACCCGGAGGUGUCGGGAACCGAGUCCUCCUCGGCCGCUUCAUGCCAGGUUGGAGGCUGCUGGCUCAGGCCGGCGCCCAGGUGCUGGGCUGCGCCAGCGGCGGUGGCCUGAGUGCUAACCUGAGCUUGGGGUGUAGAACAAACAUCUGGCUUUUUGUUAGAGGUCUCCAUGGCAAGAGUAGUACUUGGUGGUAUGAGCAUCUUUCUGAGGAAAAUGCCUCAUUCGUUAAGCAAUUGGUCUCUGAUGAAGAUAAAGCCCAAUUAGCAAGUAAAAUGAGUCCUCUGAAAGAUGAACCAUGGCCUAUACAUCCUUGGGAACCAGGUUCUUCUAGAGUUGGCCUUAUUGCUGUGAAACUGGGUAUGAUGCCUCUGUGGACUAAGGAUGGUCAGAAACAUGCAGUCACAUUACUUCAGGUACAAGAUUGCCAUGUUCUAAAAUAUACUCCAAAGGAAAACCAUAAUGGAAAAACCGCGGCUCUGACUGUAGGAGGAAAAACUGUAUCACAUUUCCAUAAACCUACAUCUGUAUUGAAAUUUUACCGAGAACUUGGAUUGCCACCAAAACAGAAAAUUAAAAUCUUUAAUGUAACAGAUAAUGCUGUAAUUAAACCAGGCACUCCUCUUUAUGCUGCUCACUUUCGUCCAGGACAGUAUGUGGAUGUCACUGCCAAAACUAUUGGUAAAGGUUUUCAAGGUGUCAUGAAAAGAUGGGGAUUUAAAGGCCAGCCUGCCACUCAUGGUCAAACGAAAACCCAUAGGCGACCUGGAGCUAUUUCAACUGGUGAUGUUGCCAGAGUCUGGCCUGGAACUAAAAUGCCUGGACAAAUGGGAAACAUAGAUAGGACAUCAUUUGGACUGAAAGUGUGGAGAAUAAACACAAAGCACAAUAUAAUCUAUGUAAAUGGCUCUGUACCUGGACAUACAAAUUGUUUAGUAAAGGAAGAAGAACUUUACAACUGACACUGUCCAGUUAGUCACAACAAGCCAUUCCAAUUUUACUGCUGUAUGUGACAAUAGUCUGAAAGCAUGCCUUACCAGACAGAUGAUGACUGCCAUUCAGAUUCUGCCUCCAUCAAUUGCCUAGGAUUCCCUGAAAUGGGAGGACUCAAAGUAUCCUUUGGCCCCUCAGAAAACAGCCAGAGGACUAAGUAUGCAAGAUUAAUGAGGUGGUCUGCUCAAGUUGGAUGGGCCAAAUUAAUGAAUGCAGUUUGUAUCAUCAAAAAAAGCAAAUCAACGAUUUUCAACUGGCCAAAGAAUCUUGGUAUAGGAGGUAUGUGAGAGCACAGAAAGCAAAGGUCUGCACACUUUCCCGUGACGCCCCUGCAAGUCUCUGCCCUUUCCAGGCGGUUCUGUUCAGUGGGGCAGGAUUUAAGGAGGGAAGCAUUCAUGAAAAGAGAUAACCCUGCUCUUCACAUAAAGUGGGAAGAAUUUCAACCUACGGUGAGGGUCCUUCACAGAGGGAGGAAAUGAAGAGGUUGGAGAGAAAAGCUGUGAAAGAAGCUGAGUGGAGCCCUUGCAAGAUGGCAGGAAAGCAGAAUCCAGGAGUGGAUGGUGAGCAGCAAGGUACAGGUUGGGGGACUGAGGGGUCCUAAGAACAGGGAUGCCUCAUAUCAGGUAUUUACUGACCUGUGGUCCUGGUCCCUAGGGUCCCCUAACUCCAGAUCCAUGCUCACCAUCAAGAUGCAGGAGAAAAGUCUUCACACAAAUCUGCAGGGCAUUUGGGGAAAAGCAGAGAAAGGAGGUUGAAUUCAAUGUUUGGGUGGAUACAAGGGAGAAAGAAGGAAGCAGCCACAAGAGACCAGCAACUCAGAGGCUGAGACAGGGGGAAUCACAAGUUCAAGGCCAGCCUCAGCAACUUAAUAAGACCCUAAGCAACUUAGUGAGACCCUGUCUCAAAAUUAAAAGUAAAAAUGGGCUGUGGAUGUGGCUCAGUAGUAAAGCACCCCUGGAUUGAAUAAGCAGUCCCCUCCCCCCCCCAAAAAAAACAAACAAAUAAAUAGAGACAAAAAUUCAGUCUACAAAUUGAAAAAAGCAGAAGAUCCAAGUGAGUGAGAGAUAGGAGACAAGAUAUGUCUUUCAAGAAUCACCCUGAGAUAGGAUUUGGAAAUAAAGAGAGAGAUGUACUGAAUCUCAACAAAAGCACCCACAAACCACCAAAAUAUAGGAAAAGCCGGUGAACCACUGAAAUACAGAGGGCAGCAUAAUCAAUUGCCAAGUCCUGAGCAACCUAGCUCUGUGCUCUUGGCCAACACCCUUGACCAUGCAUGUCUGCAAGAAGGAACAUGAGGGCAAGGUCCAAGCGCAGGGGAAACUGGCUGGAAGUUGCCCGACUCCACCUCUAGUCCAGCCCCUAGCAACCAUCCGUCCAUAAAUACCAACACCCCACACCCAUUGGGUUGCUACUGCUCACUCUCAAGCUAGCCCACAUCUCCCUUGACCGUGCCUCUGCUUUCCUAAAUAAACCUCUGUCUGUGCCUCUGACUGGUACAUGCUGAAAUUCUUUUCUGUCGUGUAUGCCAAAAACACUGCUAGCCCUGAGUCAACUUCCUCCUUCUCUCCGAGUACUCCUCUGGACACUUUUUUGGACAUAUUUCUUCUGUGACACCUUCAAAUAAGGGGAGGCCAGGAUAUUGGAGAACAUGAAACAUCCUGGUGGUGCUGGCUCAGAUUGAUUGGAGACAGCUGGGUGGCCUCUGCUUGAUGUCUACUGUCCCUGCACUAGCAGAGCCUGGACGCCUGCAGAGCCAGGACCUCUUCCCACUAAAUCUCUUAACCUACUAAUCACAUGACCCACCCUGGGACACGUGAGUGUGUGUGUAUAAAAAAAUAGGAGAAAGGGAGGAGAAUCUUCUAGAACUGGGGCUGGUGCUUCCUCCCCCUGUUCUUAGGCUCCAGCUUUUAAAGUCUCCCAGUGCCUUUGAAAAGAGAGAGGGGAGAUCCUUAGAAAGGGCUGCUGAGGGCUGGAGGGAGUCAUGCAUAUGAAUGGGCUCUGCCAGGACCUAACCUUUUCCCUCCUCCAACUGCAGUAAAAAUAAAGGCUCCUGACAUCAAUACUUAAUGAGAUUAAGCUCUGCAUGCUAAUGAAAACCUCUGCAGAGGAGCCACCUGGAGGGAGAAAAGCAAGGGGCAAGUGGUUAACUGUUAACCAGUGAGACCACAUCCCACAAAAGGCCUUGCAAAGCCCCACAAGGAGGCCCUCACAGCCCUGCCUAGAAGCAAACCUACUCAAUGAUUCUGUUCUGCUAGGGGCAGGGGUGUGGGGAAAAAGGCUUGACCUUCUUGGGCUACCCCUUCUGUUAAGGCAGAACCUCUCCCCUGGUUGCCUGGCUCUGUAGUGACAGGGGUGGGGGAGAGGAAAAGCAGCUGUGAUGGGCUCCUCGCUCACAAUAAACACUAACCUAAUCCAUCUUUUACCUUUGUUUUCCAAAGUAUAGAAGGCAUCAGUCUAUAAUGGAAAGGCAAGACAAGCUUGGGUCCAAAGCCUGACCCCCAACAUCUACCAGGUGAGCAACCUCUUGAUGCCUGUCUCCUCCCUGUCCUGUGCUCACAGGAGAGUUCUAAAGAAGAAAGAGCAUCACCAAUGGAACAGAGAAGGUUCCUAGCAGAUGGUAGAUUACAUUGCCUCUUCAAGAACUUAAAGACGUUCACAAUUUCCCCUUUCCCUAAGUCAACUAGGAAAGGGUUACUGGAGGCUCAUGAUGAGAUAUGCAGGAAGAUAAAUAUUUGCAAGCAUCUCCCAUGAAUCAGAUAAGGAAGGGCUUUCCUAAAACCCAAACAGCAAAUUUAUGGGAGAUCUAAACAAAGAGCUGCCUCCUAGCCCCAACUUACAGAUGCUGAUUUUCUCAGUUUCAGAGCAGAAAGUGCCAAAGAUUUACAUGGUAAUGUCUUCAUCAGCAUUUUCCAGAGAACCAAAAGGAGAUAGAUGACAGUGUUACCAUCUGGAGGUGACCAAGAUGACCUCAUUAGAAGACAUCUCCCUCGAUAAUAGAUAGAUGAUUGACAGAUAAGUGGUAGAUAGCUAGAUAGAGAAGAAAGGAUUUAUUUUGGGGGAAUUAGCUCAUGUAAUCAUGGGGAAGCUGAAGGAGUCCCACGAUAUUCUAGCUGCAAGCUGAUGGUGUAGUUCAGUUCAGUUCAGUUCAAAGGCCUGAAAACCGGGGAAACUAGUAGCGUCUGUAAGUCUCAGCCCAAGACCAAAGGUCUGAGAACUGGGGAGCACUGAUUGUGAGUUCUAGAGUCUGAAAGUCCCACGAGUUCUGAUACCCAAGACAGGAGAAGAUUGGCUUCUCAGUUCCAGGAGAGAAAGUAAAUUCACCUUUCCUCUGCCCACUGAUUCUAUCCAAGCCUUUGCAUGAGGGUAGAGCCUUCCUAUUUAAUAUACUGAUUCCAAUGCCAAUCUCUUCUGGAAACACCCUUCAUUCCCAGGAAUAAUACUUUCUAGCUAUCUGGGCAUCCCUUAGUUCAGUCAAGUUAACACCUAGAAUCUACCAUCACUGUGAUUUAUGGAUGCUAGAAUGAAGUCCAGUCUCCUGAGCCUGGUUUCACUCCACCACUGAUAAGCCUGGAGCAAAACUGGCCAAAAGAGGGUGUCCAUCUCUUUGUGUUGGUUUUACUGUCUAGAAUAGAGUGUUCUCUUCCUUGCACCAUUAUCUCCUAGAAAGCAAAAGUUUUUUACUGCUAGGGGAGAGACACAGAUCCCUCCAAGGCACUGAUAAAAAUCUGCUGCAUUAGGAGGAUGGUUAGAAGAAAAACUCUACCCCUCCCUGUAGGCCUAGGGGAAAAGCAGCUAUCAUGCUGGAGAAUAUCUCUCAACCCUGGGAAGCUGCUUGGGCUUGGGCAUGAGGGGAGAGGUGCUCAGCCAACGACCAGCAUCAUCUUGCCAGCUGUGUAAGUGGAGUCCUGUCUUUCAGGCCCCGCCAAGCAUUCAGUUGGCUAUAAACCCAGCUUGAUAGGUAACAAACCAAUGUGAUCAGUAGGAACAUGAGUUUGGGGGGCGGAUAACUCUAUAAACUGGGCUUACUGUGCUGAACACUCUUUAUUUUAAAAAGCAGUUUACGGAAGGCCACUCUGUCCUGCGCUGACUUACAUCAAUAGGAUAUAUAACAUUCCACAGCAAACAAACCCUUGUCUGCAAGAGGGAAAAAGACAGGGUCCCCAAAACUACUCCCUGCUGAUAAGAAGAGUACAGGGAGACUUUUGACCUUUACACAGACCAAAGAUUCCAGGACUCAUGAGGAAUAAAGUCCACCAACCAUAAAA